AUAAAAUUUUUAUAGCUAGGGAUUCAAGAUAAUUUCACUAUAUCUGUGAAUUCACAAUAUCUGUGUUUGUACCAAACGAGUUUGACUGUAUCUAUUAUUUCAGCUCUAUUUUAAAAUUUUGUUAGUAUUUUAUAGUUGGACAGUGUUCAGUAAAGAUGAAGAGAAAUAAGCCAAAUUCUAAACCAUCAUCGAUAAGCAGAUGCACCCUACUGUCCUAGGUGGAAACAGCAGAUGCACUCCACUUGACUUGGUGGAAACAGCAGAUGCAUCCAAAAGGACUUGGUGGAUACAGAAGAUGCACUCCACUGGACUUGGUGGAAACAGCAGAUGUACCCUACUUGCCAUGUUGGAGACAGCAAAUGGACCCAACAGGACAUGGUGGAAACAGUAGAUGCACUCCUCGGACUUGGUGGAAAUAGCAGCUGCACCCAACUGGACUUGAUGGAUACAGAAGGAGAACUCCACUGGACUUGGUGGAAACAGCAGAUGUACCCUACUGGCCAUGUUGGAGACAGCAGAUGCACUCAACAGGACUUCGUGGAAACAGCAGAUGCACCUAACGGGACAUGGUGGAAACAGCAGCUGCACCCAACUGGACUUGGUGGAUACAGAAGGUGGACCCAACAGGACAUGGUGGAUACAACUGGAGGAGACUUGCCUGAUGAUGUUGACCUUCCAAACAAGACAUAUCAAAGGAGAUAAUUGACACUGAUCAGCCUGGCUUAUUUUUAGCUCUACAGGUCAGAGACGAAAAAGCUUGCGAUUGUAAACAAGGGGAUGACAUGGUGGAAACAGCUGGAGGAGGCAGGACCAAUGGAUGCUAAUCUUCCAAGAUGUGGAAACAGCAGAUGUCCUCAACAAGACCAGUGUAACAGCAGAUGCACCCAACUGGACACUGAUGGAAACAACUGGAUGAUGCAUAGCCAGUACUUGCUGAUCUUCCAAGAUGUGGAAACAGCAAAUGCACCUAACAGUACAUGGUGAAAACAGUAGAUGAACCCAAAAGGACCUGAUAGAAACAACUGGAGGAUGAAUAGCCAAAGGAUGCUGAUAUGAAUUUUAUCAGCUGCAGCCAACAGAACCUUGUGGAAACUGCUGGAAUAAACAAGUUUGAUGAACCUCUUUUAAGAUGGGAAAACAGCAAAUACUUCUAAAAAGACUUGGUGAAAUAAAUCUUGAGGAGGCAAGGCCAUUAUGAAUCUUGAGGCAAACUUGAUGGACAAUGAUUUUCCAGUAUGUGAAAACACCAGGUACACCCAAAGUAAUUGGUGGAAAGAUGGGAAAACAGCCAAUACUUCUAAAAAGACUUAAUGAAAUAAAUCUUGAGGAGGCAAGGCCAUUAUGAAUCUUGAGGCAAACUUGAUGGACAGUGAUUUUCCAAUAAGUGAAAACAACAGCUACACCCAAAGUAAUUGGUGGAAGGCUGGGAAAACAGCAAAUACUUCUAAAAAGACAUGGUGAAAUAAAUCUUGAGGAGGCAAGGCCAUAAUGAAUCUUGAGGCAAACUUAAUUGAUGGACAAUGAUUUUCCAAUAUGUGAAAACACCAGGUACACCCAAAAGGAAUUGGUUGAAACAAUUAACACAGACAAGCUUGAUGGACAAUGAUCUUCAAAAUGUGGAAACAGCAGAUGUCCCCAACAAGACUUGGUGGAAACACCUGGAGGACAAUUUAUGCCUGAUGGAUGUGGACUUUUCCACCAAGACAUACCACAGUGGAUAUAAACUGAUACUGAUCAGAAAAUCAAAGAAACUUUUAGAAGGAACAUCAUCCUUGAGAUCAUAUUGUGUGGAUGAAGAAGCAGGACUUAAUUAAUGCAGAAUUAUAAUCCACAUCUUCAAAGCACUGAUGUAAAUCCAUUUUAGUAACAAUGUUUUUUUCAAAGACUUUUUUAAAAAUAUAAAUUUUUGUAAAGGGUGUCCGAAUUAUGUCAGGGUAUGGGGUCGCCCAUUCGGACACGUGGGUUCUCUACGGGUACUCCGUCUUCCUCCCACACUGACCCCCUGCUUUUCUUUUUCUUCUUCAUUAGAUAAUUAUAAUCAUAUUGUUAAGAUGAAGUAGUUGAAGGUUAGUUGUAAGUAGGCUUUAUCGAUACCCUGGGGCAUUACUGGUUGGAACUUAAGUUCCUUCACUGCCACGGUUGCCAGGCUGGCUCGGGGAGGAGAAGCUGAAAGGGACUAGUUGGAGGCUGCUUUGUCUUUUAAAUUAUCUUUUUAUUAUUAUGCCAAUGAGAUAAUGAUUCAUUAUUGUAACUGUUUUGAUGAAGUUAAAUAUGUUCCAGAUGUAAUGAUUGAGUAUUCAUAGAAUGUCAUUUAUAUGUGUAAAUUCUGUCAGCUGUUGUAGAAAGAAUAAUUUAUAUAGUCACCUUUUCGUUAUUAUAGUUUAUUGUGAAAUUGAAUCCCUCAAUAAGUCAAUAUACUGAUGUAACUAAAUAUUCAGAAAGAAAUAUAUGUAACAUUGUAAUAUUGUAUUUGAAAGUGUAAUAUAGAGAUUUGCCUCUAAAAAUGUUAAAUUGUGAUAUUUUAAUGCAAUUGUUAAUUGUUGAUGUGAAAUUGUGAAUUUAUUGUGGAAUAUUGAA